AGAAAACAAUAUGGCAGCGAUGGAUUGUAACGUGGUUGAUGCGCCUCGAGAGAAAUAUGUUAGAAAAGAAGAAGAGAAAAUCAGGAGAAGAAGAAGAGAAAAAUUGAAAAGACUUUCAAAUAAGGUAAAUUGAUGAGCCAUUUAUUGAUUAUGUUAAAAAGAAAUUUAUAGUUUCACUUUCAAUGCCAUCAAUGAUUACAAUGCCAGUUUGAUAAAUUGAUGUAAAUUAAUACACAAUUUCCGAGAUAUCAGCUCUUUUGUGAUGAUGCUACAGUUAGUACUUUACGCAUUUCUUUCUCAAGAAGUGAAAUAUGAUUUAUGCUUGAACAAUAUAUUGAUGUGAUAUCAACAAAGAAAAUUAAUUACAAAUGCUAGCUGAUCAAACCAUAGUCCAUAACAAAAUGUGAAAUGUUCCUAUGACACACAUCAAAACAAGAGACAGUUAAUUCAUAGAUGUCAAGAAAAAUGUCAAAAAGAAACAGAAAAAAUUUUGCUUACAUUUGAACAGGUUGAUAGUAACAAGAUUUCUUUCAGAUUUGUUUCAAAUUUUGGACAUGUUUUGUCAGAAUUUAGUUUUAACUUUUAGAUCAAGGAAAUUAUGGAGGAGGAACCUGACAUUCCCAUUAUGUUUUUGUAUACAAUGAAUGGGAAGACGGAGGGACAGGGUACUAUGUUGUCUUGUUUAGUGUUUUUACUAUUAUUAACUGUUCAUUAUCAUUGCUUAAAAAUAAAGUAUUAAUUUUAUUUCCAAUUUGAUAUUAAUUUUUUGCUCACCUGAGCUGAAGCACACAGUAUUCUUUUUGUACCAUGACUUCUGAUGGCUGGGAAGGAUGAUGGUAGGGAUUUUAACAUCAGUUGUGUUUGGAGAAACUUUCCAAAAUGUGUUCAAGAACCAUAGGGGUGCAGAUUGUUGAAUCUGUAUGCAAGUAUCCUCACUUACUUUAAUCAAAGAUUUGUUUAUAGCAUGAUCCGAACCUUGGUUGCAUGUUGAGGUAACAGAUUUCCAAGACACACUAGGGUAUUUUUUGUUUAAUUUAUGUGCGAUCAACCUCAUAAACUGUAAUAUCAAAAAAAUUUCACUCCUUGCUUUUAAGUCUUCAGGUGAGCAAUGUGGCCCAUGGGCCUGUUGCUUAUGUUACUUUGUGUUGUAUUUCAAUUUUGUUAAUUGUUGCAUAAAACACUUUUGCUUAAUAUGUUUCCUGUGCUUGCUUCUAUGAAGUAAAAUGGAAUAUUCUGUCAUAGAGUCCUUAGCUAAAUAGAUUUGAUAUUUUAUUUUUAAGUCUCACCAUGGUUGCGGGACAUAUGUCAUGAUGUUGCGAAGCAAAUGACCUCUGCCAGCAUGGAGCACCAUGCUGAAAUGUUGCUAUCUUCUAAAGGUAUUUCUCUUUUCUAUCAUUUAUUUACCGAUAUUGACCUGGAGUUUACAUAAAUGUUUAGCUAACCUGGCUCAAAUUAACUCUUAUGAUCAAAGUUUUUCUGAGUUAUAUAAAUUUUACUGCAAUUAGUGAAACAUUAUCAAAUAUUUUUGAAAUUUAAUGUAAAGGUGGGUCCACAUGAUUGCACAAUUCUAGUAUUAGCAAGGUGAUUCCAUUGAGUGUCGUGGACUAUGUCAAAAUCUUAAUCCAAUGAUUGGUAGUCUGUAUUUUCUUUGAUCUGUUUUCUUUUUUUUCUCUCUUGAAAUUUGCUGUAUAUGAAUUUGAAAAAAAAUUGAUUAUGUUACAUUUUCACACUUACAAUACUUUUGAAAUUUGAAUAUUAACUAAAGAAUAUCAACUCUCUCUUUCCCUCCCUCUUUAUUUCUCAACCUGUAGAAUUAGUAGGCUUAUAUGGUUAUAAUGAUCAAUAGAGUAUCGAACACCAACUCCAGAAGAAGACUGGAGGGCUUUGUUGUCAGUAAAUGCAGAAAGUACUCCAGAGUCAGUGCUGCGGAGAUUACUGCCUCUUGUUCUGAGAGGGAUAUUGAAAGCAAAAUGUAUUUGGAAGUGUAAGAAACCAGAGGGCUGGCCUGAUGAUGUGAAUUUCCAGGACCCAAAUAGAACCAGUAAGAAUUAACGUAUUAAAUGUUACCAAUUAAUCUAUCAAGAUGAAGCUACAUUUUUCGUUUAUUAUGUAGUGAUCAUAAUUCUGUGGAUUGUAUGUGCUGAAAAUAAAUGACAUAGUCUAUCGAUAGUU